CGGGGCGUGGCGCAGUUUGGUAGCGCACCUGCUUUGGGAGCAGGGGGUCGCAGGUUCGAAUCCUGUCGCCCCGA
rnacentral:tRNA from 1 species